UUUACGUAGGUGAACCUGCGGAAGGAUCAUUACCACGAACCAGCGGAGCGAGGCGCGUCAGCGCCGAGCGACGCUGUAAACACCAUUCCGCUUGCCUGGCCUCGUGCCGGGCACAGCAGUGAACCCCACGUACCCACAGCGCUCCCAGCUGAGUGGGCGGGCAGCCAUGCCCGCGGCUGGUACCUCGCAGCGCUCUAUCAAAUCCCCCCACACAAUCACACACGCACCCAAUCAAACCACGCGCCUCGGCGUACACCGGCGAUGGGACACUCUCCCACCGCCUACCAUUACAAACGCUUACAACUUUCAGCAACGGAUAUCUUGGCUCUU
rnacentral:misc_RNA from 1 species